rnacentral:rRNA from 1 species
CGCGGACGGGUGAGUAACACGUGGAUAACCUACCUAUAAGACUGGGAUAACUUCGGGAAACCGGAGCUAAUACCGGAUAAUAUAUUGAACCGCAUGGUUCAAUAGUGAAAGACGGUUUUGCUGUCACUUAUAGAUGGAUCCGCGCCGCAUUAGCUAGUUGGUAAGGUAACGGCUUACCAAGGCAACGAUGCGUAGCCGACCUGAGAGGGUGAUCGGCCACACUGGAACUGAUACACGGCCCAAACUCCUACGGGAGGCAGCAGGC